rnacentral:miRNA from 1 species
UCAGUGUCUGGAUUUCCUAG